rnacentral:rRNA from 1 species
CUUGCACACCUAUAAGAGGUCCAGCCUGCCCAGUGACUCUGUUCAACGGCCGCGGUAUCCUAACCGUGCGAAGGUAGCGUAAUCACUUGUUCUUUAAAUGAGGACUAGUAUGAAUGGCACCACGAAGGUUAUACUGUCUCCUCUAUCUAAUCAGUGAAACUAAUCUCCCCGUGAAGAAGCGGGGAUAAUUAUAUAAGACGAGAAGACCCUACGGAGCUUUAAACUAAGAAUCAUCUGCUUUACCCUUCUUCAAAUUUCAGAAAACUAACUUUUACCAAAGCACUCUGAUCUCUAGUCUUAGGUUGGGGUGACCACGGAGUAAAAACCAACCUCCGCAAUGAACCGGGAUCUUUCCUUAACCAAGGGCCACAGCCCUAAGAAUCAACACAUUGACAUCAAUUGACCCAAAAAUUUGAUCAAUGAAC